rnacentral:rRNA from 1 species
CCUACGGGUGGCUGCAGUGGGGGAUAUUGCACAAUGGGGGAAACCCUGAUGCAGCAACGCCGCGUGUGGGAAGAAGGUUCUCGGAUUGUAAACCAUCGUUCUUGGUGAAGAUAACGUCCGUAACUAAGGAGAAAGCUCCGGCUAACUACGUGCCAGCAGCCGCGGUAAUACGUAGGGAGCAAGCGUUGUCCGGAUUGACUGGGUGUAAAGGGUGCGUAGGUGGGCUUGCAAGUCAGACGUGAAAACUACAGGCUCAACCUGUGGACUGCGUUUGAAACUGUGGGGCUUGAGUGAAGUAGAGGUAGGCGGAAUGCCCGGUGUAGCGGUGAAAUGCGUAGAGAUCGGGAGGAACACCAGUGGCGAAGGCGGCCUACUGGGCUUUAACUGACGCUGAGGCACGAAAGCAUGGGUAGCGAACAGGAUUAGAUACCCGAGUAGUC